ACCAUUCUGCGGGCACGUGAUAGGGACUCCGAGUGCCCGUAAAUGCGGACUGUCCGUCUGUUUAAAAAACUGGUGAAGAAAGGGCCGGGCAAGACCGGUGCCAGCCGCCGCGGUAAAUAAA
rnacentral:rRNA from 1 species